rnacentral:rRNA from 1 species
AAUCAACGCUGGCGGCGUGCCUAACACAUGCAAGUCGAACGCGAAAGGGGCUUCGGCCCUGAGUAGAGUGGCGAACGGGUGAGUAACACGUGGGUGAUCUACCUUCGAGUGGGGGAUAACGUUCCGAAAGGAGCGCUAAUACCGCAUGACGUUCCGGGUUUGAAGACCUGGAAACCAAAGCCGGGGACCGCAAGGCCUGGCGCUUGGAGAGGAGCCCGCGUCCGAUUAGCUAGUUGGCGGGGUAACGGCCCACCAAGGCGACGAUCGGUAGCCGGCCUGAGAGGGCGGACGGCCACACUGGAACUGAGACACGGUCCAGACUCCUACGGGAGGCAGCAGUGGGGAAUUGUUCACAAUGGGCGCAAGCCUGAUGACGCAACGCCGCGUGGGGGAUGAAGGUCUUCGGAUUGUAAACCCCUGUCGAACGGGACGAAAGACUCGCGAGCUAAUCAUCGCGAGAGUGACGGUACCGUUAAAGGAAGCCACGGCUAACUCUGUGC